rnacentral:lncRNA from 1 species
UCAGGUUGGACAGCGCAUUUCAUUGUCAAAAUAAAGGAGGGCCAGAGCAAGCGGAUUAGGUGCAUGGCCCACAAAUGCAAUGCUAUAUGCGACGAAGCUGUUGUUAGAAAACUAGUUAGUAAAAAACACCCUGAUUUAGCAGAGAAAUUCGAUCGAUAUCUUCUUGAGUCAUACAUCGAAGACAACAAAAUGGUUAAAUGGUGCCCAAGCAUACCUCAUUGUGGGAAUGCUUUACGAGUAGAAAAUGAUGAAUUUUGUGAGGUCGAAUGUUCCUGUGGUUCACAGUUCUGUUUCAGUUGCUUAUCAGAAGCCCAUUCCCCUUGUUCAUGCUUGAUGUGGGAGCUGUGGACAAAGAAAUGCCGAGAUGAGUCAGAGACAGUACACACAAAGCCUUGUCCUAAGUGUCACAAACCUGUGGAGAAGAAUGGUGGCUGUAAUUUGGUUAAUUGUGUCUGUGGGCAAGCAUUUUGGUAAUAGUAAUUUUUACGAGCUUUUCUUGUUUGUGCAACUAAAUGCUCAUUGGCAAUUUUGGCAUAACCUGCUUGUGGGAAAAGAUUCUCUACUCAAUCUAGUGAUCUGAUGCUUGUAUAAAUUCAACGUUAAUAUAAUGCCCUAUACUUUAGAACAUUAGGUAUAUUCCUGUGCAUAUGAUUCCAGUACCUAUCUCGGGUUUUAUAUAUUUCAUUUCUCUUUACUUUUUAUGUUAUUUUUCCCUAUCUGGAGAAUUUUCUCUCUUUAUUCAUUUAUAUAUUUUGUGUGUGUGUGUGUGUGUGUGUGGUGGGUUAAGUGGGGGUUGCUUUAGAGCCGCUAUUCCAGUUUUACACUUUCUCUAGAACCUUUCUCCUGACAAAAUUGAGCCAAUGUUUCAUAUUCUAGUCAUCAGUGAAACCUACAAGUCUUUCAUUUCAAUGAAAUGGAGACAAGCCUUUUAGUUUACAUACAGCAAGAUCACGGAACUUGCUGUGAAAUGGAAUCCAAAUUCCUGCAAAUUUCCUUCUUUAUCAUCAGAAUGAGAAAGGAAGUCCUCUUGAACUAAUUGCCUGAAGCUUAUGGUUUGCAUCAAUGAAAAAUCAGAGGUAGUUGCUGUACUUGGGUUAAAAAAUG